GGGGAUAACACUUAGAAAUAGGUGCUAAAACCGCAUAAGCGCACAGGAUCGCAUGGUCUGGUGUGAAAAACUCCGGUGGUAUACGAUGGACCCGCGUCUGAUUAGCUUGUUGGCGGGGUAGAGGCCCACCAAGGCGACGAUCAGUAGCCGGCCUGAGAGGGUGAACGGCCACAUUGGGACUGAGACACGGCCCAAACUCCUACGGGAGGCAGCAGUGGGGAAUAUUGCACAAUGGGGGAAACCCUGAUGCAGCGACGCCGCGUGAGUGAAGAAGUAUUUCGGUAUGUAAAGCUCUAUCAGCAGGAAAGAAAAUGACGGUACCUGACUAAGAAGCCCCGGCUAACUACGUGCCAGCAGCCGCGGUAAUACGUAGGGGGCAAGCGUUAUCCGGAUUUACUGGGUGUAAAGGGAGCGUAGACGGUGAAGCAAGUCUGAAGUGAAAGGCGGGGGCUCAACCCCCGGACUGCUUUGGAAACUGUUUGACUGGAGUGCAGGAGAGGUAAGUGGAAUUCCUAGUGUAGCGGUGAAAUGCGUAGAUAUUAGGAGGAACACCAGUGGCGAAGGCGGCUUACUGGACUGUAACUGACGUUGAGGCUCGAAAGCGUGGGGAGCAAACAGGAUUAGAUACCCU
rnacentral:rRNA from 1 species